CCUACGGGAGGCAGCAGUGGGGAAUAUUGGGCAAUGGAGGCAACUCUUACCCAGCAAUGCCGCGUGAAUGAAGAAGGUCUUCGGAUUGUAAAGUUCUUUAAUUGGGGACGAAAAAAAUGACGGUACCCAAGGAAUAACCCCCGGCUAACUACGUGCCAGCAGCCGCGGUAAUACGUAGGGGGCAAGCGUGGUUCGGAAUGGCUGGGCGUAAAGGGUGUGUAGGCGGUGUAGCAAGUUAGAAGUGAAAUACCUAGGGCUUAACUCAGGUGCUGCUUCUAAAACUGCUAUACUUGAGUGCAGUAGAGGAAAGUGGAAUUCCUAGUGUAGCGGUGGAAUGCGUAGAUAUUAGGAGGAACAUCAGUGGCGAAGGCAGCUUGCUAGGCCGGAUCUGACACUGAUGCACGAAAGCGUGGGGAUCGAACAGGAUUAGAUACCCUGGUAGUC
rnacentral:rRNA from 1 species